ensembl:lncRNA
AUGGUUUCUCAAACCUCAGGGACUGCAAGGUAUUCCUGGAGAACGUGGUCAGGAUGGACCCACAGGAUCUAUGGGUCCACCUGGACGAGAGGGGCCUAUGGGCAGUCCAGGACCACCAGGAGAGAGGGGUUUCCCUGGAAAGACAGGAGCAAUGGGACCGCAGGGCCCUGUUGGCAUGUAUGGUUUUCCAGGAAACGUGGGUAUGAGAGGAAGACUGGGCCACACUGGAAACAGAGUAAAGACAAAUUACACUUUAACCAUCCCACAUUAACAGUGAUAAUGUCAUUAUAUUAUGGUGUUGUACAUUGCAGUUAUAAUGUUGAAGCUCACCUACAGAUAAAGGCUCCAUUCUUAUCGUAUGUGUGCUGCCUCAAAGUCUGCAUAGGCCACUGA